AUGAACGCUGGCGGCGUGCCUAAUACAUGCCAGUCGAGCGAACAGACGAGGAGCUUGCUCCUCUGACGUUAGCGGCGGACGGGUGAGUAACACGUGGAUAACCUACCUAUAAGACUGGGAUAACUUCGGGAAACCGGAGCUAAUACCGGAUAAUAUAUUGAACCGCAUGGUUCAAUAGUGAAAGACGGUUUUGCUGUCACUUAUAGAUGGAUCCGCGCCGCAUUAGCUAGUUGGUAAGGUAACGGCUUACCAAGGCAACGAUGCGUAGCCGACCUGAGAGGGUGAUCGGCCACACUGGAACUGAGACACGGUCCAGACUCCUACGGGAGGCAGCAGUAGGGAAUCUUCCGCAAUGGGCGAAAGCCUGACGGAGCAACGCCGCGUGAAUGAUGAAGGUCUUCGGAUCGUAAAACUCUGUUAUUAGGGAAGAACAAAUGUGUAAGUAACUAUGCACGUCUUGACGGUACCUAAUCAGAAAGCCACGGCUAACUACGUG
rnacentral:rRNA from 1 species